CUUAGCUCAGUAGGUAGAGCAACUGACUUGUAAUCAGUAGGUCACCAGUUCGACUCCGGUAGUCGGCACCA
rnacentral:tRNA from 1 species